rnacentral:piRNA from 1 species
UACCUGACUAUAAGCAGCUUAUACCUGACAC